GAUGAACGCUGGCGGCGUGCCUAAUACAUGCAAGUCGAGCGAAGCGGGGACGGGUGAGUAACACGAGGAUAACCUCCUCUAAGACUGGGAUAACUGCGGGAAAACGGAGCUAAACCGGAUACUAAUUGGUGGAUCCUAGCUGCAUUAGCUAGUUGGUAGGGUAACGGCUGACCAAGGCAACGCUGAAUAGCUGACCUGAGCGGGGUAUCAGCCACACUGGAACGUAGACACGGUCCAUACGCCUACGGGAGGCAGCAGUAGGGAAUCUUCCGCAAUGGGCGAAAGCCUGACGGAGCCACGCCGCGUGAGUGAUGAAGGUCUUCGGAUCGUAAAUCUCUGUUAUUAGGGAAGCGUUACCUAAUCAGAAAGCCACGGCUAACUACGUGCCAGCAGCCGCGGUAAUUC
rnacentral:rRNA from 1 species